UCCUGCUCUGCAUCCAGCGCUGGUCCCAGCCUCCUACCACUAACUCCUUCCCAGAAUCCAGGAGAUGUAGAAGCCCAGCAACCCUGGCAAGUUGGGCAAGGUCACCCAGGACCAUCAGGAGGCGCAUGCAUCCCAGUGCAACAAGACUCUCACCUCUGCACAUGCUCACUUCAACAAGAGCAACAGAAAGCAGACUGUGUGUGUGUGUGUGUGUGUGUGUGUGUGUGUGUGUGUGUGUGUGUGUGUG